GUAAUCUUAGGCCGAGUUGACUUUAUAUGGCGACUGGUUUACGGUAGAAAUUUUACCCUCCAGUAUCUGUAUGUAAAUAAAGAGGUCGUAGAACCAGUGUAGACAAUAUUCGACGAAGUUGUCAGAUAUGACCGGCGUUUGGACUGUACUUUGCCGAAAGUACAACAGAUUGAUGUUCAAUGACAAAUAAAUUUACUAGCCCCUCGGGCUACCGCGCCACGGACAUUUACUAGCCCAACACAAAAGUUACUAGUCUCGGGCUAGCGGGCUAGCGUUAGUGUCGAACCCUGGUUUAUUAUAAAUAAUACAUGUAUAGUCGAGUCAUUAUGUACCAUUUAAUCAGAGUUAAUCAUCAUCCUCUGCAGAAAUGAAUCUUUUAUAUUCCCAACUGCAUAUACAUGUAUUGCAUACAUACAUAGUAUUAAAGUUUUGUUGUAACUAGCUUUUUUUAAAAGUAUUGGCCAAGAUAUUUCGCUGAGC
rnacentral:lncRNA from 1 species